rnacentral:rRNA from 1 species
UACGAAGGGGGCUAGCGUUGCUCGGAAUCACUGGGCGUAAAGGGUGCGUAGGCGGGUCUUUAAGUCAGGGGUGAAAUCCUGGAGCUCAACUCCAGAACUGCCUUUGAUACUGAGGAUCUUGAGUUCGGGAGAGGUGAGUGGAACUGCGAGUGUAGAGGUGAAAUUCGUAGAUAUUCGCAAGAACACCAGUGGCGAAGGCGGCUCACUGGCCCGAUACUGACGCUGAGGCACGAAAGCGUGGGUAGCAAACGGG